rnacentral:rRNA from 1 species
CCUACGGGUGGCAGCAGUGAGGAAUAUUGGUCAAUGGACGCAAGCCUGAACCAGCCAAGCCGCGUGCAGGAAGACGGCUCUACGAGUUGUAAACUGCUUUUGUACGAGGGUAAACGCAGAUACGCGUAUCUGUUUGAAAGUAUCGCACGAAUAAGGAUCGGCUAACUCCGUGCCAGCAGCCGCGGUAAUACGGAGGAUUCAAGCGUUAUCCGGAUUUAUUGGGUUUAAAGGGUGGGUAGGCGGUCGUACAAGUUCGAGGGUAAAUCCCCGGGCUCAAAUUCGGAAUUGCCUCUGAUACUGGUCGGCUAGAGAGUAGGAGCGGUAGGCGGAAUGUGUGGUGUAGCGGUGAAAUGCUUAGAUAUCAGACAGAACACCGAUUGCGAAGGCAGCUUACC